GGUUCCACAUUUAACUCCUCAGGAUAUCCUUAAUGUGAUUCUCACGGUGGUGCCUAUUAAAAUUAGCUAUUGUGAUGGGAACACCAUGUAAUUUAGUAAUCUGUAACCACCAUUUCAAUUUUCCAGGUAGAGGAGUAAGUUACACGGGGGAAAUUUAUGGCUAUAAAGAAGAGAACGAAGAGAACUCGGAACCAGAGGUGUGAGCAAAACUUUAGAAACCAGUGGCACUUAACAGACCUUUUGUGGGGGCAUACUCAUAUACUAGGAGAAGACAAUUAGGAAUCAUGGGGUGAAGAAAAGUUGCAACAGAGGAAAAGACACAUAAACAAAACAAGAAAAAUACUACAGAAACUAAGAAAUUAGAUAUAAAUGAAACAGAGAUAUUGAAUGAAGGAAUGGAAAAGAACAGUGGGAAUCAGUGGCUCUAAGAACUAGGGUGGCAAGACAGCACAGAAGAACGAAGCAAUUGCCUGAGGCACCAUAUUUUACAGACCUCUUCUUUUUAAUAUCUGCGGACUUUCUCUUCAUAUGAUGAAUAUGGAUUGGUCAUGUAUAUAUACACAACAAAAGUUAAAACAAAGCACUUACGCUUUUGCUUGGGGGUCUUCUUAGGUGCCAGAGUGGACUGAUGGAGCAAAUACUCUGAACAUACUAUAACGCAAUCACAUAUUCAGCCUGUUUCUACUGUAUUCACAGAUCACUGCAACUGUAAUGGCAGUUGCAAGGAAGAGGACGGACAGCGCUAUAGUGGCGGUUGGAAGAAAUAUGGUGUGGCAGGUAGACACAUUCACAUUGUAACUUCGGUUUUUGAAGUAACUUCAAAUAAACUAUUUUCUUCUUAAAAUCUUGCCGGUUGCAUGAGAAUUUUGGAUGUUUUGAUACCCGAUAACCGGCACUUUCUAUAUUCUCAAACAAAAUGUGUCAUGCCUUCAUUUAACACUCAUUAUCAAUUUAUCUUCAUCUGCUUUUUAUUAUUCCCUCAUAAAAUCCAUUCAGUAAUUUUAAGAUGCUCUUAUUAAUUAUAUUAUUUACUUAAUGAAAAGUGAAUUACAAUGCAAUAAGCCUUCUAUACCACUGAUCACAAUACUGAGGCUGCAUGACAGAAACAGUAUGGAAUAUCACUUUCAAAAGUGAUUAAGACAUCUCAGUUCCAAGGCUAUAGCUAACACUAUUACAUAAUUAAAAUAAACAUUUCAAACCCAGUUUGCAAGUUGACCAGUAGUGAAAUACACAACGUUGAACACGGUGGCAAUGGCCCACCUAUCUCAACUAACAAAUAAUUUAUUAUCUCAAAAUAGUGCAGCCCAGUUUAUCUUCAAAAUCCAGUGAACACAUAGCAAUCAAACUUCCAUCCUUCAUGCACCUUCAUGAGGAGUUGGUGGGAUCUAAUUUGCUUUUCUUACAGACACCACAUUCACUCUGCUUCUCAACCUCAGCAAUAUUAAUCAACAUUAAUCAUCAUUUACUUCUCAACAAAGAUAUAACUGAUAAAUUAAGUGAUACUACUUUUCAUUUGAAUCUGCAAAACAUUAACUUUCUUGCUACUGUCCUGAUAGUAUCCUAAAGAAACAAUCAUAAAUUUAUACGUCCAAAUUUUGAAAAUGUUCUAUAAACGCAGAUAUCUAGUGUAAUAAUUGUUGUUGCUGUAAACCUAUCUUAAAUACUGCUGUUGUUAAAGUACCUUUGGUACUAAGCAAAAAAAAUCUUACACAUCUUAGUUUCAGCAAAAGGACCCACUACAAUGUCCCAUUAGUUGCGUAUAUAUAUUUCUCAACACCAAUAGUUUAUAGAUUAUAAGAACUAAAGAAAGCAGCAAAUUUUGCAAAAAUCAUAAACAAUAUUGAAAACUACUGUCUUCUGGGAUGUGAUACAGUGUAGUCUAGUUAAUAAUUACCAGCAUUUCAGAGGAAUACGCUGCCUCAAUCUUCGUGGAAAAUGAGUAUGCUGAGUGCAGAAAAAAGUAGAAAAUAUCAUGGUUACACAGUGAGGGAAUGCACGACUGGAGUCCUGAGUGAAUCAGUGGGGGUAAGGAGAACAGUGUAAAGAGUACUGGACCAUAUAUCCACACCAUGCUUCCGCAUUCAGCUUACUCUUCUGGCUUGCAGGAGGCAUUAGUAACAAUCUGUCAGACUGCAUGGUAACAUAUCCAGAAGACAAGUCGCCUUCAUAGUCAUGUCUAUGAGAACUCACAGCUCACAUAAAAUCUUAUUUCUUCUUUAGGUAUAUUUUCAGUUUUAUGUUCAUUCUUCAAUCCUUAGGAUCAGGUGUUCAAGCCCGUAUGAGCCAACAUGCUGUAUAAUAUUCACCAAUUACCUGCCAAGGUUCAACUUAGUUUCUUUAGACUCCAAAUACAAACAUCCAAGUGUGAAAAAUAGUUAUGACUGUCUGGUAACUGGACACAAUAUACUUACAAUUUGUAAAUUAAGUUUUUUUGCUGUGAUGAUUCAGGAAGUACAAUAUACACGUUGUCAUCCAAUAUGUAGAAAUGUUAAAGAACGUAUUUAUUAUUUUUACUCCUAAUUUAACUACCUCUUAUAGUGUCAUUAUAAAACUGAUAUCUCUUACGACUACCAUUAACUUUAAAUACUGAAAGAAAGGUAAUA